UACGGAGGGUGCAAACGUUGCUCGGAAUCAUUGGGCGUAAAGCGCACGUAGGCGGUCCGUUAAGUCGGGAGUGAAAGCCCCAGGCUCAACUUGGGAAGUGCUUUCGAAACUGGCGGACUUGAAUACUGAAGAGGAUCGCGGAAUUCCCGGUGUAGAGGUGUAAUUCGUAGAUAUCGGGAGGAACACCAGCGGCGAAGGCGGCGAUCUGGGCAGAUACUGACGCUGAGGAGCGAAAGCGUGGGGAGCGAACAGG
rnacentral:rRNA from 1 species